GACGAACGCUGGCGGCGUGCUUAACACAUGCAAGUCGAACGAUGAAGCCGGAGCUUGCUCUGGUGAAUUAGUGGCGAACGGGUGAGUAACACGUGAGCAACCUGCCCUUGACUCUGGGAUAACUGCGGGAAACUGUAGCUAAUACCGGAUACGACCCUCGGAGGCAUCUCCUGGGGGUGGAAAGAAUUUCGGUCAAGGAUGGACUCGCGGCCUAUCAGCUAGUUGGUGAGGUAAAGGCUCACCAAGGCGACGACGGGUAGCCGGCCUGAGAGGGUGACCGGCCACACUGGGACUGAGACACGGCCCAGACUCCUACGGGAGCCAGCAGUGGGGAAUAUUGCACAAUGGGCGCAAGCCUGAUGCAGCAACGCCGCGUGAGGGAUGACGGCCUUCGGGUUGUAAACCUCUUUUAGCAGGGAAGAAGCGAAAGUGACGGUACCUGCAGAAAAAGCACCGGCUAACUACGUGCCAGCAGCCGCAGUAA
rnacentral:rRNA from 1 species